AGCUCCAAUAGCGUAUAUUAAAGUUGUUGCAGUUAAAACGCUCGUAGUCGGAUUUCGGGGCGGGCCGACCGGUCUGCCGAUGGGUAUGCACUGGCCGGCGCGUCCUUCCACCCGGAGACCGCGCCUACUCUUAACUGAGCGGGCGCGGGAGACGGGUCUUUUACUUUGAAAAAAUCAGAGUGUUUCAAGCAGGCAGUCGCUCUUGCAUGGAUUAGCAUGGGAUAAUGAAAUAGGACUCUGGUGCUAUUUUGUUGGUUUCGAACACCGGAGUAAUGAUUAACAGGGACAGUCAGGGGCACUCGUAUUCCGCCGAGAGAGAUGAAAUUCUCAGACCAGCGGAAGACGAACCACUGCGAAAGCAUUUGCCAGGGAUGUUU
rnacentral:rRNA from 1 species